rnacentral:rRNA from 1 species
UACGUAGGGGGCUAGCGUUGCUCGGAAUGACUGGGCGUAAAGGGCGCGUAGGCGGUUUGUCCAGUCUGGUGUGAAAUUCCCGGGCUCAACCUGGGGGCGGCACUUGAGACGUAGGAACUGGAGUGAGGAAGAGGGUCGUGGAAUUCCCAGUGUAGAGGUGAAAUGCGCAGAUAUCAGGAGGAACACCAAUGGCGAAGGCAGCUCGCUGGAACGGUACUGACGCUGAGGCACGAAAGCCAGGGGAGCAAACGGG